AAUGAACGCUGGCGGCAGGCCUAACACAUGCAAGUCGAACGAGGCAGCAAUGCCUAGUGGCGGACGGGUGAGUAACGCGUGGGAACGUGCCCCUUGGUACGGAAUAGCCCUGGGAAACUGGGAGUAAUACCGUAUGUGGUCGAGAGACGAAAGAUUUAUCGCCAAGGGAUCGGCCCGCGUUGGAUUAGGUAGUUGGUGGGGUAAUGGCCUACCAAGCCGACGAUUCAUAGCUUGUUUGAGAGGAUGAUCAGCCAAACUGGGACUGAGACACGGCCCCGAAUCCUACGGGAAGCAGCAGUGGGGAAUCUUAGGCAAUGGGGGAAACCCUUAUCUAGCCAUGCCGCCUUAACGAUGGAGGCCUUAGGGUUGUAAAGAUCUUUCAGUGGGGAAGAUAAUGACGGUACCCACAGAAGAAGCCCCGGCUAACUCCGUGCCAGCCGCCGCAGUAA
rnacentral:rRNA from 1 species